GACUGGCGGGGUGCUAUACUGCAGUCGAGCGGACAGAUGGGAGCUUGCUCCCUGAUGUUAGCGGCGGACGGGUGAGUAACACGUGGGUAACCUGCCUGUAAGACUGGGAUAACUCCGGGAAACCGGGGCUAAUACCGGAUGGUUGUCUGAACCGCAUGGUUCAGACAUAAAAGGUGGCUUCGGCUACCACUUACAGAUGGACCCGCGGCGCAUUAGCUAGUUGGUGAGGUAACGGCUCACCAAGGCGACGAUGCGUAGCCGACCUGAGAGGGUGAUCGGCCACACUGGGACUGAGACACGGCCCAGACUCCUACGGGAGGCAGCAGUAGGGAAUCUUCCGCAAUGGACGAAAGUCUGACGGAGCAACGCCGCGUGAGUGAUGAAGGUUUUCGGAUCGUAAAGCUCUGUUGUUAGGGAAGAACAAGUGCCGUUCAAAUAGGGCGGCACCUUGACGGUACCUAACCAGAAAGCCACGGCUAACUACGUGCCAGCAGCCGCGGUAAUACGUAGGUGGCAAGCGUUGUCCGGAAUUAUUGGGCGUAAAGGGCUCGCAGGCGGUUUCUUAAGUCUGAUGUGAAAGCCCCCGGCUCAACCGGGGAGGGUCAUUGGAAACUGGGGAACUUGAGUGCAGAAGAGGAGAGUGGAAUUCCACGUGUAGCGGUGAAAUGCGUAGAGAUGUGGAGGAACACCAGUGGCGAAGGCGACUCUCUGGUCUGUAACUGACGCUGAGGAGCGAAAGCGUGGGGAGCGAACAGGAUUAGAUACCCUGGUAGUCCACGCCGUAAACGAUGAGUGCUAAGUGUUAGGGGGUUUCCGCCCCUUAGUGCUGCAGCUAACGCAUUAAGCACUCCGCCUGGGGAGUACGGUCGCAAGACUGAAACUCAAAGGAAUUGACGGGGGCCCGCACAAGCGGUGGAGCAUGUGGUUUAAUUCGAAGCAACGCGAAGAACCUUACCAGGUCUUGACUCCUCUGACAUCCUAAAAAUAGGACUCCCCUUC
rnacentral:rRNA from 2 species